rnacentral:rRNA from 1 species
GACGAACGCUGGCGGCGUGCUUAACACAUGCCAGUCGAACGGAAAGGCCCUGCUUGCAGGGUCCUCGAGUGGCGAACGGGUGAGUAACACGUGGGUGAUCUGCCCUGCACUUCGGGAUAAGCUUGGGAAACUGGGUCUAAUACCGGAUAGGAGCCAUCUUUAGUGUGGUGGUUGGAAAGUUUUUUCGGUGUAGGAUGAGCUCGCGGCCUAUCAGCUUGUUGGUGGGGUAAUGGCCUACCAAGGCGGCGACGGGUAGCCGGCCUGGGAGGGUGUACGGCCAAAAUGGGACUGAGAAUAGGCCCAGACCCCCACGGGGGGCAGCAGGUGGGAAUAUUGGACAAAUGGGGCCAGGCCGAUGCAGGGAAGCCGCGGGGGGGAAUAAGGGCCUUGGGUUGUAAAACCCCUUCGCUAGGGACGAAACCUUUUGUGACGGUACCUAGAUAAGAAGCACCGGCUAACUACGUG